AACGAACGCUGGCGGCAUGCCUAACACAUGCAAGUCGAACGAGACCUUCGGGUCUAGUGGCGCACGGGUGCGUAACGCGUGGGAACCUGCCCUUAGGUUCGGAAUAACUCCCCGAAAGGGGUGCUAAUACCGGAUAAUGUCUUCGGACCAAAGAUUUAUCGCCUUUGGAUGGGCCCGCGUUGGAUUAGCUAGUUGGUAGGGUAAAAGCCUACCAAGGCGACGAUCCAUAGCUGGUCUGAGAGGAAGAUCAGCCACACUGGGACUGAGACACGGCCCAGACUCCUACGGGAGGCAGCAGUGGGGAAUAUUGGACAAUGGGCGAGAGCCUGAUCCAGCAAUGCCGCGUGAGUGAUGAAGGCCUUAGGGUUGUAAAGCUCUUUUACCCGAGAUGAUAAUGACAGUACCGGGAGAAUAAGCUCCGGCUAACUCCGUG
rnacentral:rRNA from 1 species